AUUGAACGCUGGCGGCAGGCCUAACACAUGCAAGUCGAGCGAGCGGCGGACGGGUGAGUAAUGCCUGGGAAUUGCCCAGUCGAGGGGUAUAACAGUUCGAAACGACUGCUAAUACCGCAUACGAUGGGAAUGCCCAGGUGGGUUUAGCUAGGUGGAGAGGUAAUGGCUCACCAAGGCGACGAACGCUAACGUGUCUGAGAGGAUGGUCACCCCCACGAGAACUAAGACAAGGUCCAGACGCCUUCGGCAGGGAGCAGAGGGGAAUAGUGCACAAUGGGGGAAACCCUGAUGCAGCCAUGCAGCGUGUGUGAAGAAGGCCUUCGGGGUGUAAAGCACUUUCAGCGAGGAGGCGGUACUCGCAGAAGAAGCACCGGCUAACUCCGUGCCAGCAGCCGCGGUAAUAC
rnacentral:rRNA from 1 species